UACGUAGGGGGCAAGCGUUGUCCGGAUUUAUUGGGCGUAAAGCGCGCGCAGGCGGCUGUUUAAGUCUGAUGUUUAAGGCAAGAGCUUAACUCUUGUUCGCAUCGGAAACUGGGCAGCUUGAGUGUAGGAGAGGAAAGUGGAAUUCCACGUGUAGCGGUGAAAUGCGUAGAGAUGUGGAGGAACACCAAUGGCGAAGGCAGCCUUCUGGGCCAACACUGACGCUCAUGCACGAAAGCGUGGGGAGCAAACAGG
rnacentral:rRNA from 1 species